GCAGUGGUGGUUCAGUGGUAGGAUUCUUGACUUCCAUGCAGGAGACCUGGGCUCAAUUCCCAGCCAAUGCA
rnacentral:tRNA from 1 species